GCGCGCCCGGCUUUCCCGCCGUGGUGCCCGGGUCCGCGUCCCCCGCCCGCUCGCUCGCUGUGCUCCAUUCGGACCGGAGGGAGGCUCGGCCAGGCGGGCCCGGGAGCCGAUCCGCGUCCUCCCCUAGAUGGCGAGGCAGUCGAUUAUGCCAGAGCCACCCAGCGAAUGUGUCUGGAGCCAGGACAGAACCAGACGGAGCCUGGCCUAUGGAGCGAGGGCUGCAGCCCCAGGGGCAGUCGCCCAGCGGUUCCACACGGUCUUUGUAGUUUACCUCCCUGAGCCAGCUCUGCUCUAGUGAUUAUAGAAGGGCUGGUUCAUCCCUGUUUCACAGUGGCCCUGGAAGACCUGCUUCUGACCUCUUGUAGAUGAGCCAAUGCAAGCCUGGGGGGUGGCUGAUGACUUGAAGUCACUCAGCUCUACUGAGAGCUGGUGAACCCAGGGGUCCGGACUCCCAGCCUAGUGUAUUUCGGACAAGAGGCCUGCGGAAGUGGGAUAUGGAGCCUAAUCUUGCCAACCACUCUGCCACACAGGUCCUCUGUCUUUUUGCCUGGAGGCCAGAAUUCCAGCCCACCUCACCUGAGAAAUGCGAAAGCUGCGAUGUUGGCUGCAUUUAAUUAAAACAUGCUCUCAGUCUUUAAAAAAAAAAAAAAAAAUUCAGAGUUUGUGUUGGAUUUGACAAAACUGGGGUCCUAUUAAGAUCAUCAUUUUUUUUUUUUCUGUAACUUAGACAACCCAACAAUACAGGUCUCAUCUGAUUGUUGUGGCUGCAAGAGCAGAGGCCUAGUCUUUUUCAUGGUCUUGGUACUGUAUCUGCGGUGCCUGGGACUCUGAUGUUCAAAAUCUUCUUUUGAAUGAAUGAAUUGAUUUAUAGACUGGAAAUCUGAGAUUUAGGUUGACUUACUGGAGUAAGGCCCUGUAAUAGUGACAGAGCUGAGACUCAAAAUGAUGUUUUCUGACACAGAGAUACAGGCCCUUUCUAAUCCAUACUGUCUCAGGAUCAGAUUGUUCAAACUGAAGAAGCGGACCUCGGGGACCACCGAAUCCAUCCCCAUCAUUUCCCAAUGAAGACGUGAGCUGGAAGCCUAACACAAAUCCUUGUUUUAGUAAGUAAUCACAUUGUUUUUUCUCCCUGGGAAGCUGGGAGUAGGUCCUUGUACGCAUUACAGAUCAAGAGACAAAAUGGAACAGUAAUUAUGAUUCUGAAAUUGCUCAUAAUUAGAUCCAUGGCUAGGCACUCUAACUCAGAUUAAUGAGACUGAGUUGCUGAUUCCCAAUAGCUUAUAACUCACUAAAGGUUUAAAAAGUACUAAUUAGAUCAGUGAUGUUUUUAGUUAUUCACUUGAUAAACUUAUUUUUUUGUACUGGGUAUUGAACCCCGGGGCACUCAACCACUGAGCCACAUCUUCAGCCCUUUUUUAUAUUUUAUUUUGAGACAGGGUCUCACUGAGUUACUUAGGGCCUCUUUAAGUUGCUGAGGUUAGCUUUGAACUCCUGAUCCUCUUGUCUCAACCUCCCGAGCAAGCGGCUGGGAUGACAGGCCUUGGCCACUGCACCCGGCUACUUCAUAAACCAUUAAAUGGCCCUAUAAACAAGCACUGAGCUAGGCACUAUGGCUGAUGAAGACUACUAUAGUGUGGAUUUAUUGCUAAAAGGAAGAACUUACUGGAGACAGAUUGCCUGGAUUAAAAUCUCAUUUUUGCCACUUAUUUGCUGUGUGGCCCUGGACAAAUUACCUACCAGAUUCAGUACUCAUGGAGCUUCUAAUCUAUUUAAGAUGCACAUACAUAAAUCAAGUUAAUGUUAGAUGAAUGAAUAUAGUAAAUACAUAAUAUGUGAGUUCAGGGAUAGGCAAGAUUGUUCUUUCUGGAGAAGUGAGGAGGGUAAUGGGGAGGUGGCUUUGUGUGUGUGUGUGUGAUACUAGGGAUUGAACCCAGGAAUGCUCUACCACUGAGCUCCAUCCCCAGCCCUUUUUAUUUUUUAUUUUGAGACAGGGUCUCCUUAAAUUGCUGAGGGUGGCCUUGAACUUUCGAUCCUCCUGCCUCAGCCUCCCAAAUCAUUGGGAUUACAGGCAUGCAUCAUUGUGUCUGGUUGGGGGAGGUGGCCUUUGAACCACUGAAAGAUAAAUUAGGUUGCAGGAGGUCGGAAUAGAGGAAGAGCAUCAAAGACAAGAAACAGCACAUGCUGAGAUACAAAGUCAAGAGUGUAACUUGUCCAGAGUAGCUGCACAAAAAAAGAUCUAGGGGAGUAUCAGGUAGGCUGGGGCCAGAUUGAGGAAGGCCUUGGGUUUUGGCAGAGUUUAGAUGUUACUCAGUAAGCAGUAAAAGCCCUUGAGGGAUUUUUGCCAGAUCAUUUUGCAACCGCGGGAGAAUAUAGUGACUCAGAGAAAGCACCAUGGAGUUCAGCUUGGAGCCAGGCUUCCUGAGUGGGAGUGAGUUUACCGGCAUGGGAAAGGCUGGUAUGUCGGGGAGCAGGCAGCCUGCCACCUCAUGCUGCCAGGGCCUCUUUAAAGGAGUGUGACCGAGAUUCCCCUCUAGUGGCUGAGGUUGGUAUUUCCUUAGGGGAUUGGGAUUUCUAUUUCAUAUUCAAUCAAUUCUGUGCCAGGUGACUUUAUGUACAUUACCUCCUAUAAUCCUCACAGUGGCCAUAGAAAGCAGAUGCUACCAGCAUUUAGUGGGAAAUAGCAGCCACUUAAUGAACUAGAGAUGGAAAGGGCUUGGGAAUCAAUUUUUCACCAGGUGGUUGGUUAUCUCAAGCUCACUGCAUUGUUAAAAGUUUUUGUAACAGGUCCUGUUUGGCCUUCUCCUUUCUCCUUUGUCAUUUGGAUAAACUUAGACUAAAUCUUUCCUUUUUUUUUUUUUUUUGAGGGGGUAGUACUAGGAAUUGAACUCAGGUGCACUCAACCACUGAGCCACAUCCCCAGCCUUAUUUUGUAUUUUAUUUAGAGACAGGGCCUCAUUAAGUUGCUUAGUGCCUCAAUUUUUGCUGAGGUUGGCUUUGGACUUGCAAACCUCCUGCUUCGGCCUCCCUAGCUCCUGGCUUAGACUAAAUCUUAAACUACUUAUCUUUUUAUGAUUUGGAGGUCUGGCAGGUUGAAGAAGAGAAUGAAUGAUGCUAAGAGAAUAAUAGUGAUAUUAACCUAAAGAGUUCAGGCAGGAAAAAUACAGUUUGGGGAGGAAAGAAUAACUUUUUGUUUUUCAGUGCUGAGGUUCAAAGCCAGGUCCUUGCACAUGCUUUACCACUGAGAUACAAGCCCAGUCUUCUUAUAUUCUCUAAUAUGUGAAGAAGUGUUACAAGAAAAAUGUAACAGGUUUUUGUUUUUGUUUUUUUUUUUUUUUUGGUACUAGGGGUUGAACUCAGGGGCACUUUCCCACUGAGCUACAUCCCCAACCAUUUUUAUUUUUUAUUUAGAGACAGGGUCUAAGUUGCUUAGGACCUGCUAAAUUGCUGAGGCUGACUCUGAACUUGCUAUCCUCCUGCCUCAGCUGUCCGAGCUUCUGGGAUUACAGGUAUACACCACCGCCACAGCCCUUUUUAAUUUUUACUUCAAGACAGGGUCUUACUGGGUUACUGAGGCUGAUCUUGAACUUUGAUCCUUCUGCCUCAGCCUCCUGAGUCACUGGGGUUAUAGGCUUCAUCUUUUUUUAUUGUUUAUGAACUUGACACUUUUGAAGAUUACAAGCUAGUUAUUUUGUAGAAUAUGCCUCAGUUUGGUUUUGUCUGUUUCCUUGUAAUUUUUCUACUUCAUUUCCCCUUAUCAUUUUUUUUUUUUUUUUUUUAGAGAUGGGGUCGUGCUAUGUUGCUCGGCUGGUCUUGAAUUCCUCCUGCCUCAACCUCCAGAGUAUUUUGGACUACGGGUUCACACCACCAUGCCCAGCUUUGUACUAUUAGUAUUAGUCAACUCCUCUCCUUCAGUCUCCUCAGACAAGCCUAAACCACAGCCCUGAUUAGGUUUGUAUUAGGCAGGAAUCUUUCAGUAACAAGUGGUCAGAGAUCCAGUUCAAAUUGACAUAAGCAAGAAAGGAAAUUUGUCAGCUCAUUUACUGAAAAGGUCAGAGGUAAAUAUGAAGGCACUGUUGGCCUCAAGGAUUCGAACAAUGUCUUUAGGACUUUGGUGUCUCUCUUAGCUUCCUUUUCUGAAUUGAUUCCUUUUCAGGCAGCCCCUCCUCUCUCUCUGGCAAGAUGGCUGCCAGCACCUUUCAGAUCCAUGCAUGAUUAUUUUUCAGGAACUCAGCAGGGGAAAACUCUUCUUUCUUUGACUCUUUCCUUCUGUCUCUCUGUCUUCUUAUAACUAAAGUCCCAGAUUUAUUUCUGCCUAGCUACUAGUUGUUUGGAGCCUGGGCAAAUCCUUGAAUCUGGAUCAGUGUGGGCUUGGUGGUUUCCUCUACAGACCCAUGGAAAAUUGGGACAUUGUUCCCAUAAAGUCUUGGUCAGAUAACAUAGUAGUGUCUGUUACAACAUUUUUCUGUUUAGAAACUUUUAAUUCCUCCAGUUGACUAUGAAAUGAAGUCCAAAUUCUUUUAUUAUCAUUCAAGGCCCAAUGACUUGGAUCCAGAUCUUUUCAGGCUCAUUUCCUAGAUGAAACUUUUCCUGUAGCCCAACAGAGUCACUGAAGAGCUUUCAUAUCAUCAUCCCCAUUCCUGUUUCUGCUCCUUUGAUCAUUCUGUUUCUGUUAGACUUUGGAUUCCUUAUGCAGGAGCAUCCAAGUAAUGGAAUCCUUUGCAUUGGUAGGAUUAGCUCAAAUGCCACUUCCUCCUGAAGCAUUUCCUGAUAUCCUCCCAAUUUCUGCAUCUGUUUCAUGCUGUGGGAUAAGCGGCAGAUUUGUACUAUAUUUACUUAUGUAUUCAUUCUGCCCUCCCUAUUAGAAUGUAUUUUUUUGGGGGGUGUGAUACUGGGGAUUAAACCUGGGGUCCUUUACCACUGAGCUGUACCCCUAGCCCUUUUUAUUUUAUUUUUUAAAUUUUGAGAUAGGGUCUCGCUAAGUUUUCCAGGCCUCACACUUGCAAUCUUCCUGCCUCCGCUUCCUGAGUCGCCGGGAUUAUUGGUGUGCCCCACUGCAGCUGGCUAGAUUGUACAAUUUCUUGAAGGCCAUAAUGCAGGUGUCUUUUCUUUUAAAACCUCUUCAAUAUCAAGUAGUAUUUUGCACCUGAUAUAUAUUUGUUCCAUGAGUGGAUUGAAUAUUUAUGGCAUGGUCUUCAUACCCUUUAUAUGGGAAUCCCUUUCUGAAUAAGCUCAUGUUACUGGGCCACUCGCCACUCAAAAGCCAGUACUUGGAAGAUGAGGGUUUUUAAAAAAUUUUGAGACAGGAUCUCACUAAGAAGUUUCUUAGGGCCUCCCUAAGUUGCUGGGACUGGUUUUAAACUUGUGAUCCUCUUGCCUCAGACUCCUGGGCUGCUGGAAUUAAAGAAAUGUGCCACCACACCUGGCUUUACUUGAAAUUUUUAAUUUGAAAUUAAAUAUGAAAUAGAUAUCCUCUUUUAACAAGGAAUUAAAAUGGGAAAUUUGAGUGACUUGCACUCUAGUCCACAUAUUUUUUUAAAAAGUUUUUUUAUUAGUUCUUUUUAGAUAUAUAUGACAGUAGAAUAUAUUUUGAUGUAUUUACAUACACGGAGUAUAGCUUCCUAUUUUUGUGGUUGUACAUGAUGUGGAGUUUCACUGGUUGUGUAUUUAUAUAUGAACACAGGAAAGUUAUGUCUGAUUCAUUCUACUGUAUGCUAUUCCCAUUUCCCAACCCUUCCCUUCAUCUCCCUUUGUCUAAAGUCCAUUUAAUUGAUAAGCCUCAGGUCUUGGACUCAAACCCACAUCUGUCUGACUAUAAAACAGAGGCUGUAGGGCUGAGGUUGUGGCUCAGUGGUUGAGCACUUGCCUUGCAUGUAUAAGGCACUGAAUUCAAUCCUCAGCACCACAUAAAUAAAUAAAAAAAGAUAUUAUAUCCAUCUAUAACUAAAUAAAAAAACAGAGGCUGUAAGUAGGAGACUUCAGCCCAUAUUCAGCUCUAUUUUGCUUUUCCAGAUUUUAUAUGGUAUGUAAUGUUUGUGAUUGAUUUUUACAAUUAAUAUAACAUUUUUGAGAUUCAUCUAUGUCACAUACCUUAAUACUUCAUUUCUUUCUUUCUUUCUUUUUUCUUUUUUUGGUACCAGGGAUUGAACUCAGGGACACUCGACCCCUGGGCCACAUCCCCAGCCCUAUUUUGUAUUUUAUUUAGAGACAGGGUCUUAUUGAAUUGUUUAGUGCCUCACCGUUGCUGAGCCUGGCUUUAAAUUCUUUUUUUUUUUUUUUUAGAGAGAGAGAGAGAGAAAAUUUCAAUAUUUAUUUUUCAGUUUUCGGCGGACACAACAUCUUUGUUUGUAUGUGGUGCUGAGGAUCGAACCCGGGCCGCACGCAUGCCAGGCGAGCGCGCUACCGCUUGAGCCACAUCCCCAGCCCCUGGCUUUAAAUUCUUGAUCCUCCUGUCUUGGCCUCCUGAGUCACUGGGAUUAUAGGCACGUGCCAUUGUGCCUGGCUUAAUACUUCAUUUCUUGAAAUCAACUUUUUUAUUGAGGUAUAAAUUGCAUACCAUGAAUGAGUUAAACAUCAUUACCUUAAGUACAUGUAUGAAGACACAAAUGGUGUGAACAUACUUUGUGUACAAUCAGUGACUUGAAAAAUUGUGCUCUAUUUAUGAAUGAAAUGAAUUGUAUUCUUCCAUCAUGUAUAACAAAUUAGAAUAAAUAAAUAAUAAUAAUAAAUAAAUUGCAUACCAUAAAAUUUACCCCUUGUUUAUUUGGUGCUG
rnacentral:lncRNA from 1 species